CAGUCGCCGCGGGAAUACGUAGGGUGCAAGCGUUAAUCGGAAUUACUGGGCGUAGAGCGUGCGCAGGCGGUUCGCUAAGACAGAUGUGAAAUCCCCGGGCUUAACCUGGGAACUGCAUUUGUGACUGGCGGGCUAGAGUAUGGCAGAGGGGGGUAGAAUUCCACGUGUAGCAGUGAAGUGCGUAGAGAUGUGGAGGAAUACCGAUGGCGAAGGCAGCCCCCUGGGCCAAUACUGACGCUCAUGCACGAAAGCGUGGGGAGCAAACAGGAUUAGAUACCCGAGUAGUCCCUGUCUCUUAUAA
rnacentral:rRNA from 1 species